UACGUUCGUUGGUAUUAUCUGUAUAAAUGUCGUGUAUGUUCACUAUUUUUUUUGACGAUCAAUUACAGCUCCCAUUAUGUGUUUGUGGGUUACUAACAUUUCGCAACACAUAUAUUCCAAAAUAUUUUAACGUUUAUUAAGUGCAGUGAUUGGUAUUAUAAGUUUAGUCGGUUGCACUAGAGGUUAUGUCUCCUUCACGCAUCUGCACUUAAGUAGUUGUUCACUGAGAUCCAGUGGGUUAGGUCGAUCAUGACCUGAAGGUUCAUACACACCAUCCUUAUAUGCUGCUGGCCAGCGUCGUAGCAGAGGAGUAUCUACAAUUACCAUCAUUAGUUGUCAUAAACUUGACAAGAAGAUACUAUACAUACGUUGACUGGAAAGCAUGAGAAGAAUACUGCAAGUUGGAAGUCUUCUGACACUGUAUCUGCUGCUGACAAAAUGAUCUAAUGUGGAUAUAAGAGCUGUGUUAUCAUUAUGGAAAUUCGUUCCAUGUUGCAAUUGUCCUUACUUCUAGUGUAAUGUUGCCAUGACAUAUUCUAUU